rnacentral:rRNA from 1 species
GUGGGGAAUAUUGGACAAUGGGGGGAACCCUGAUCCAGCCAUGCCGCGUGUGUGAAGAAGGCCUUCGGGUUGUAAAGCACUUUUGGCAGGGAAGAAACAGUGCGUGCUAAUACCAUGCGCGAAUGACGGUACCUGCAGAAUAAGCACCGGCUAACUACGUGCCAGCAGCCGCGGUAAUACGGAGGGUGCAAGCGUUAUCCGGAAUCACUGGGUUUAAAGGGUACGUAGGCGGUUAAUUAAGUCAGUAGUGAAAGACUGUCGCUCAACGACGGAUGUGCUAUUGAUACUGGUUAACUUGAAUCAGGUUAGAGUUGGCGGAAUGGGUCAUGUAGCGGUGAAUUGCUUAGAUAUGACUUGGAACACCGAUAGCGAAGGCAGCUGACUGAGCCUUGAUUGACGCUGAGGUACGAAAGUGUGGGUAGCGAACAGGAUUAGAAACCCCAGUAGUCC